GUAUCUGCACCAAUACCCCAUUUAUCUUCACAGAGGUCAGUUGCAUCUAUUAAUAUAGAAAAAAUAUUUCAAACCCCACCCCAAUUGUCUGAUCAUUGUUAUAUAUGUUUUAGAAUGAUGUGCCAUUAAUCCGCCAGUGGUGGUGCAUCCUACUGAUGGAAAGAUUUCAGAUUGAAGGACAUGGCCAGAGGUUUGCUUUCUGGACUGACAAGGCUAGCAGGCUAUUGCAAGGGACCCUUCAGCCACUUUUUAGGGUAUCUAGGUCAAUCACUUCAGACAUUCCACCUCAUGUGCAAACCAUGGUCAACCGCACAGCCCAAGAAAAGAAGCUGGUAGACUUUGCUGUACAAGACCAUGGAGUCCGGCAACAUUUGUUGGUAUGUUUGUCUUUGUUAUUUACAAUUUGCACAUUGUUUUACCAUUACAGUGUUAUAAGCAAAUAAGCAAAAGGCCUUAUAAUUCAUGCUUGUUGUCACCAUGUGUUGGGGGACUUUUUUUUUUUUUUUUUUUUUUUAAUGUGGAUUUACAGUCCAAAACUUUUAACAUAAACUACUUUUGACAUUCAACUAGAAAUGUUAAAUGUUUGCUCAUGUUUUGAUGAAGUGCUUUUGGCACUUUGCCUUUUGACCUAAGGGUGUACUCUGUGGAAAAGAGCCUUCGAAGUGGCUCAGCAGAAUCCAGAAGGGAUCAUCUCUACGGGUGCCAGUGUACCUGGACUCGGAGGAAGAACAGGACUCCCUAUUUUUCUAUCUUCAGGAUGUCCUGAAAUCUGCACCAGUAGAAUUCCACAUUGAGGAUCAAGUGCAGUUCAUUUUGGAUGUUUUGUUCCCAGAGUGCAUCACCCAAGCCAUGUCUACACUACAGGGAAUAACUAUACAAGAGGCUGAAGAGUUGUUUCUUUCAGGUCCUAACUACAGCAGAAGGUAAAAACAGUUACCUGUGUUUGAAAUAUCUGUAUGAAUGUUUAUUUAUUGUGACUUCCAUUUUAAUUGGGUGGGUGGUUGCGUGUUUGUGUCGGGGUACU